UGAGGCGCUGGUAUGAGGAAAGGUGCAGGAAGGUCGGAGUUCCAGGCGGUGCUGGCCGUCGUCACAUGUCCCCAGUCUAGAUCUAAGAAAAAAGAGAAGGGGAUGAAUCUGGAGGAAGAGCUUGGUGAAGAACAAGGUGUUCGUAAUGGCAACGGUGGUAAUCAACGAUGAGAAAAAAGGACCGAGAUUGUAUUUGUACUAGCAGGUGAUGCCUUAAUUUAGUUCAUGGCAUUAUGGCGGGACGCAUGUGGUAAAUGGUUACAAUGGUGGCUCAUGGAGUUAAAAUUUUGUGUUCUGUACAGAUUUGAGAUGAUAGAAAUUCAAAAUAGUCCUAAUUUUCAGAUCAUGACCACAGCUUGCGGAGUUUCAAAAUCUAAUAUCUCUAAUUUCCGCAUCAAGCUAAGUGGUCCCGUUGUUUAGCAUGGGUCCUUUGCUACUGUUGGUUGUGUCCUUGCUUCUUGGAGAGGAGGGAGGGCAAAUGACUUUGAUGCCAGAAAUAGGGGAGGAACAUAAGGUCAAGUAUCCAUGUUGUUUGGUACCUUAUAGAAGAUGCAUUACGCAAUGGUCUCGGCAACUGCAGCGAGAUUUCACAGUCACGAUUUUUCCAUAUUGGUAUGGAUUCUAAAACCUUAUAGGAAAAUGCCAUCUUUCACAAAAUGAAACUAUGCCUACAGAGCUGCUGAGGGAUGCCCUGUAGUGGACUGGCUGAGACUGUCGAGCAUCAGGUUGCAAAUCUCCAGAGGUACAAGGGGCUCAUUGGUAGCCUGGCCUGCUUUUGGUAUAUCAAUGAGGACAUCCCUGACGUAAAUUCGUUUCGUGACAGUGGGUGAUUGAGAAAGGAGCCCAAGCAGAAGGCAGAACACAGAUGGAGCAGUUGACUUGUUCUUGUUCAUUUCCCUUUCCGCAACGAAUAGAAUCCAAUUAAUUAAUUUGGGUGUAUGCUGAUUGAGAUAGUUAAUCAAUUGGGUAUGUAGACCAUGGUGUUGGUAGGUAAGUCUAAACUCCUCUGCAUUUGCCUUUUUUCUACCUGAUGAAUAUUCAGACUACUGAUGUUGCAUACGGAGG